rnacentral:rRNA from 1 species
AGCAGCCGCGGUAAUUCCAGCUCCAAUAGCGUAUAUUAAAGUUGUUGCAGUUUAAAAGCUCGUAGUUGAAUUUCGGGAUCAUCAGGUUGGUCGUGCCUCUGGUAUGUACUGAUUUCGAUGGUCCCUCCUUCUUGAAGAGCCGUAAUGCCAUUAAUUUGGUGUUGCGGGGAAUCAGGACUGUUAACUUUGAAAAAUUAGAGUGUUUAAAGCAGGCAAUCGCUUGAAUACAUUAGCAUGGAAUAAUGAAAUAGGACGUUCGAUCCUAUUUUGUUGGUUUCUAGGAUUGACGUAAUGAUUAAUAGGGAUAGUUGGGGGCAUUAGUAUUCAAUUGUCAGAGUGAAAUUCUUGGAUUUAUUGAAGACUAACUACUGCGAAAGCGUUUGCCAAGGAUGUUUUCAU